rnacentral:lncRNA from 1 species
GCACAGCGCAGGGCAGUGUAAUGGAGCCGGCCUGCUGAUGUAACGUGUGGGGUCCACCCUCAGCGAUUGAGAUCAUUGUCUCCAGCGAGAGGAAGUGGAGGAGCAGGACUGGAGCGUGGCUAUCUAUCUGUGCACCCUGGGUCUGAAGG